rnacentral:rRNA from 1 species
UAGUGGCGGACGGGUGAGUAACACGUGAGAAUUUGCCUUUAGGAGGGGGAUAACAAUCGGAAACGAAUGCUAAUACCCCAUAUGCUUUUGAGUGAAACGGAUUUAUCCGCCUAAAGAGAAGCUCGCGGCUGAUUAGCUUGUUGGUAAGGUAAGAGCUUACCAAGGCGACGAUCAGUAUCUGGUUUGAGAGGACGAUCAGACACACUGGAACUGAGACACGGUCCGGACUCCUACGGGAGGCAGCAGUGGGGAAUUUUCCGCAAUGGGCGAAAGCCUGACGGAGCAAUACCGCGUGAGGGAAGAAUGCCUAUGGGUUGUAAACCUCUUUUUUCAGGGAGGAAUAAAAUGACGUGUACCUGAAGAAUAAGCAUCGGCUAACUCCGUGCCAGCAGCCGCGGUAAGACGGAGGAUGCAAGUGUUAUCCGGAAUCACCGGGCGUAAAGCGUCUGUAGGUGGUUUAAUAAGUCAACUGUUAAAUCUUGAGGCUCAACUUCAAAAUCGCAGUCGAAACUAUUAGACUAGAGUAUAGUAGGGGUAAAGGGAAUUUCCAGUGGAACAGUGAAAUGCGUAGAUAUUGGAAAGAACACCGAUGGCGAAAGCACUUUACUGGGCUAUUACUAACACUCAGACACAAAAGCUAGGGUAGCACAUGGGAUUAUAUACCCCAGUAUUCCUAGCCGUAAACUAUGGAUACU